GACUAACGCUGGCGGCGUGCCUAACACAUGCAAGUCGAACGAUUCUUUGAUUUAUAGCAAUAUUUAUUAAAGAGGAGUGGCGAACGGGUGAGUAACACGUAAAGAUAAUCUGCCUUUCAGACGGGGACAACUCAGGGAAACUUGUGCUAAUACCCGAUGAGACCACAAGAAGGGAUUUUUGUGGCCAAAGGCGGGCAGCAAUGCUCGUGCUGAAAGAUGAGUCUGCGUCCUAUCAGCUAGUUGGUGGGGUAAAUGCCUACCAAGGCUAAGACGGGUAGCCGGCCUGAGAGGGUGAACGGCCACACUGGGACUGAGACACGGCCCAGACUCCUACGGGAGGCAGCAGUGAGGAAUUUUCCGCAAUGGGCGCAAGCCUGACGGAGCGACGCCGCGUGAGGGAUGACAGCUUUCGGGUUGUAAACCUCUUUUAUUAAGGAAAAAGAUCUAUAUGCUAAUAUCAUGUAGAUUUGAUGGUACUUAUUGAAUAAGCCCCGGCUAACG
rnacentral:rRNA from 1 species